AGAAAAAAAAAAAAAAACACCCUCCAGCUACCUACAAAGGGGCUCAGGGCUUUGUAAUGGCAGAAAGAAACAAAAAUGAAAAGAAAAUUGCAGUUGAGGCUAAAGUGUGAGAGUGUGUUUGUGUGUAUGUAUAUCUGUGUGUAUUUUUAAAGGUUUCUUUGAACUGCCUUUGUGCUGACUAGGCAAAGCUCCUUGCCAAUGCUAGUCACGGUUUAAGGAACUUUGAGUUAACCUCUUAUAUCGAAUGAAUCUUUUCAUUUGGAAACCAAUAAAUCUCAAUCUCUAGCCACCUUUUGUAGAACGGGCUGGGGCGGCUGGGGCUUACCAAGGCAAGGCUGAAGCUUAUAAUAAAGAAGAGAUAAAGUUUGCCAAAGUUUGUUUGUUGGUUUUUUUUUUUUCCCUUCCCCUUCUUCCUCCUCUUCUUCUCUCGUAAAUAAAAGUUUUGAGAUGGCAGCAUUUGGAAGCAAUCCGGAGAAGGACUUGGAUCUAUGCAUUGUUUCACAGGAAACUGAGGCAACUUGACCUGCGUAGGACAACAGACCAGAAUCCUUGCCAAACCACCCAGAAUUCAACAAAGGAAACAGCUGAGAGCAUGGAGCUAUCAAGUCUUGGAGCCUCUGCUUCCUCCUCAUGUUUUGAUUAAACUUCCUGCUGUUGCAUCAACACUCUUGGCAGAAGCAAAGGUCGCUCUUAAAGGCAGCAAGGUCCUUUGGGUACAAAAGCGAUACAGCCGUCACCCAGCAACAUCCAGGGGCUUUUUCAGUUGGGGCUGAGUGAGUUCACCCCAGGAUAUACGCCCAGAUGACCUUGCAAUCGUGACCAUGCUGCUAUACCAGACCUGUGCGACUGUCACCAGCACUUGGGGCAUUUGAAGGAUGAUGCAAAGGUGAAUGAAGGGAGCCAGGCCAUGAAAAUGAUGUCUCUGCAUCUUUCUGUUCUCUGCUGGGCAUCUAACUUACAAUGCCAGCAACGCUUUUCUCCCUUGGUCUCAAGAGGAAAGCUGUAUUUGGAGUAGGGCAACAUGCCUUCAUUUGAGAUAUUUAAUGCCUUCGAAGCACCACCAAAGCUCAAUUAGCAAAUAGAAAAAAAAAAACCCAGAAGUCAAAGCAGGAGACCUAUGUAUGUAGUUCCAACAUCAAAGGAAUAUUACCUGCGCUUUCAUCUCCCUUUCCUCUUGUGAGUCAAAGGUAGAACACAUUACUGCAUAUUUUAAGCAUUUUCUAUUUUGAAAGCUUAAAUGUCAGUGUAAUUCCCCCAAUGGUAAUUUCUGUUGUGCCGUUCCAGGCGGGUACUUCAACAGAAUGUCUCCCAGUUUUCACAUGAUUAUCUCCAUCUCCUCCUUUGAUAGGUUUGCUUCCAAUUGCUUCAAGUAUUCACUCUGGAUUUGAACUGGUUCAUAUUCCUUGACAAUUUGCUUUGAGCGCUGUCAGAUGAGGUGUGGUACUGCCUUUUAUGGGGCAUUUUUGAUGUCGUACCUUCCCCUGGCUCCCCCAUCCUCUUCUCUCAAACGCAGGAUCAUCUGGUUGCACCUAGACUUACUUGCUGUUCAGAGCAAUCUAUAAUAUAACCACCUGGAAAAGAACAUAUCUUUUUUUUCUUUUUCUUUUUCCAUGUUUCUUUCUUUAGAAUGAACUUUGCAUUUGAGGAUUAUUGACAAAUCUGUUUGAAAAAGACAUGUGAAGAAAAAACCUUUAUGGUCCAUCUUGUGGUAAAAAGCGGGUAUUUCUUUGCUCAUUUGAAUGUCGGUGGAUUAUUUAUGCUGGUGCAAUGUUUUGAAGAGAUAAAAUACUCCCCACUGUGCUACAUGCAAAUCUCUGCAACGUAAACAUAAAUAGUUGUUGCACAUGCAUAAUCAAAGACAUUUUUUAUAAUUAUUGUUGGAUAGUUCAGUCCUCUAAUAGCAUCAUCUGGUGUAAAUCAGUGUAGCUCUACUGAAGCCUGCAAAGCCCCUACCGAUUUGUACCAGAUGGGACUCAAACUCUUCGCUCUAAGUUUAGUCCUUCUGAAAAAAAAGAAAAGAAAGGGAAAAAAAAGGCAAAAGCCUGACAGUCCUUGAAAAUGAACUUCUUGUUAAUUCAUGGAAAGCUUGUAGAGCAAGAGUGGCAGGGACUUUUCUUGAUCCAUAUGUAUGCCUCAGUCCUUAUCUAGAGAGAACAUUUCUGCGAUGAGGGAAGGCGUGGGUUUCUGUGCCAAGUUAGUUCUUGGCCCCUCUGCUCAGACUAUCGCAAAGAUUUGCCAGAUAAUGUCAUUUAUAUUGUGAACUCCUUUCUGCCGAGAUUUGGACUAAGACAACCAGCUCUUUAGCAUAGGCCAGCAUACCGCUGCCAGAUGCUAAGAAUUUUCAGUCGUUCACAACCUGUGCUGCAUUUUUAGAUACCUGAAGGUGAAGGGCUCAAAGUCUGCUUUUCUGUCCCCAGAGCCAUCUUGUUUCACUGUCAUUCAGCAUUAUCUUUUCUCCAACAUCGUACACAGCACAAAGAACUUUUUAAAGCUACUUUGACACCUGAUUCUACCCCAGCUGAAGACAACAACCUCAGUCUCAUCCUUCUGGUGUUCUGCAGAUAAACUUUGCUUGGAGUUAGUAUAAAAUACAAUGCUCAGCAGCAUUUAUUUUCACAAAUUCAUUUAGACUACAUCAUCCAAAUAGCUGCUAGUGGAGACUGCCCAGGCAUAUUUCAAUGCCAUAAACAUACAUUUAUUUCCAAAUCAUCGGUGUUAGUAACCGGCAUACAGAGUGUUUUGUCCAACAGAAAUUAAGGUAACUUAGUGUAAAAAGAGGUGGAAAAUUAGAGGAUUGCUCCCUUUUGAAUGUUGACAGCAAAAAUAUCCCCUAAAUACUGAAUUAUCGCUUACUAUAAGAUAAUAGAACGUUCACCUAAAUUUCAUGGAGGUGUAAGAUUUUACAGUAUUGAAGAGUACACACAUAUGCAUGCACUAUAAAUGUAUCCAGCUUUCAACCAACUGAAAUUUUGCAUUACUAUGAUCUGCUCUUUCAGGUUUGCCUGCCUGUGAGAUUUUUUUCCUGUUUUCUGCAUUUUCAACAAGAUCCUCCCAAAGAGUUGUUAUUCUUGUAUAAGCUUGAUGUGGACACAAACUUUUUUGCAAGAAGUCUGAGCUACUGUUAGCAGCUUCUGAAGAGCUCUAAGUCUGAUGCGGGUUUAAUUUGUGAUGAGUGCCAUGGCAGAACAGUCUAACAAUAUAAGUCUGUUGGACAUGUCGUCUGGGCUGUCACGUUCAAUUUGCACAUGACCUCCUGGCCAAAAAAUGGGAAAGAAGUGGUAGAAUGUGGGACUGAAAGCUUAUAUUAUUGCUUUGACAGCUUCACUCAUCUAGAAGUAAUGCAAAAUGCAAUUUAUAUUUAUACUCUCUGACCUUCUGUACAGAGAGGGAAACUAUCUAAUGAUGGGCCAUGGUAGCAGAGAAAGAAACAGAUCUCAAUACAGCUGGAAUUUGUCUACAUUUUUUGCUUUUCAACCAUUCAAUUACAGUCAAAAGAUAAAUGAAACAUGAAGAGUGCCUUGGUUAGGUAGUGACACAAUUAUUUUAUAGUGAGUAGGUUCUGGCUUUGAGCCUUGGCAAAGGUUGCCAUGCACGCCUUGUUUCACUAGAUACAGAUAAUCUGCCUGCUCCCACCGGACAAAUCCCCUCUGUUUGGAGGUGUGUCAUUAUGCCCAUCACAGGAGGAGAAGAAAGACACUAGCAACUCAGUACCACUUUUCCCGUGCAUUUGAAUAUUCUUGAGAGAGGCUGACACUCUAAUCCUAUUAACUACGAUAAAUCAAGUCAGGCCUAAUUGUAAACGGGACAUUAUUCAUUUUGGUGGAAAACAGGCAGAUAGGAAGAACGCACCACAUUCUUCUCAUCCAAGGAGCAGCACGUGGGUUUGUAUCUUCUCAGGGAAAAAAUAAUGCAUAAAUCAGCUUUUGAUUCUGACAGAACUGCCGAAGUAAAUACCGGGUAACACCUGAAGAUCCUUAACAACGUAUCUCAGAGCAGGUAUCAUACUGCCAUAGCUCAGCAUCCUUCAGAGGCCUUCACUGCAGCCACGACUGUUUACAACAGCAUGAUUUGGCUCAAAAAUUCAGCCUCCAGCUGCAUCUGUUUCUCUCUUUUCAUCUAAAAGAGAUGCAGCAUUUGAAGGAAAAGUUAUUUGCAGGAAUGAGCAUUAAGGGAAGACAACAGGCACAUAAAACAGAAAGUACAGGUUUUAUGCGUGCCAGUGUAUUUUGGACAACUACAUCAGCCUGAAUUUGUCUCUUCAUGCCAUUGAUCUCUUCUGCCUUAAAUAGGAGCUGAUCCAAAGGCCAUUGGCCUCAAUAGCGAGACUUUCAUAAAUGGUUGUAGGCUGUGAAACAAGCCUAGGGGUAGCCUGUUUUCUGUCUUAAUUGUUUUAUUCUGGAUUGCCGCAUUUCAAUGGGUGUUUUUUUACUUUUGUAGCUUGAAUGAUUAAAACCCCAUAUUAUCAGACAAAAAAUUUAACUGAUAUCCAACUUUCUUCAUGGAAUUCCUUUUUUAAAAGUUAUAUGAUGGCAAUAAUAAACAACUAAACCAAUGGUCACUAUACCGUUAAUAUGUCAGAAAAGAAUAAAAAUAUACACACAAAGGCUAUGGGAAGGUCAUGUUUCAUAAAUAAAUGCAAUAAGAUGAAACAACUAAGACAAAAUAGUGCAAUGAUGAGAGGCUGAGUGAAUAUUAAAAUGCAAUUUAUCUUUCUUUUGGUUUGUUUGCCAGUGAGAAAAAGUACUUUGUCCAAACUAUUAGUUAUCCUACAGGUUAAAAACUUCUUACCUCUGCACCUUUUG